UUGGACACAUUCUCAUAGAUCCCGCCCCAUUUGAUUCUGUUUAAGAAACGUUUUGCAACAAUUGGCGAAAUGAAUACGCUCCAGUACGGCCUAUCUCUAGGUGGCGAUGGGUUCUAUGUUCCGCAGUGAGGAGGUGUGCCUGGUGCAGCUCUUCCUCCAGUCUGGUUCAGCCUACAACUGUGUCAGUGAACUGGGAGAACUGGGCCUGGUUGAGUUCAGAGAUUUGAACCCCAACGUCAACUCCUUCCAGAGGAAGUUUGUGGGGGAGGUGAGACGAUGUGAGGAACUGGAGAAAACCUUCUCGUUCCUGGAGCAGGAGAUCAAUCGGUCUCUGUGGCCCCCCUCCAUGGCCCCCUCCCUUCCCCCUGCCCGACACCCUCAGCCCCCCAGCCCAGAGACCUACUCACCAUUGAGGAAGAGAGUGAGAGGCUGGCCAGGGAGCUCAAAGAGGUGUCCAGGAACAGAGACAGUCUCAGAGCCCAGAUGACCCAGCUCAGCCAAUACAAAGGGGUUCUCACCCAGACCCACUCCCUCACUUCCUCACAGGGUCCGCCGCCUCCACUGGAAACAGUAGGCAUGUUGGAGCCUAACCGACAGGAUGUCCACCUCAGUUUUGUGGCCGGUGUGGUCCACCCCUGGAAAGUCCCUUCGUUCGAGCGAUUGCUAUGGCGAGCGUGCCGUGGUUACAUCAUCGUGGACUUCAGAGAGAUGGAGGAGCAACUAGAGCACCCUGUCACGGGGGAGAUGCAGUGGACGGUGUUCCUCAUAUCCUACUGGGGAGAUCAGAUCGGACAGAAGGUCAAGAAGAUCUGUGAUUGCUUCCACACACAGACAUUUGUGUACCCCGACAACCCCACGGAGAGAGAGGAGAUUCUCCAGGGACUGCAGGGCAGAAUUGAAGACAUCAAAUCUGUCCUGUCCCAGACAGAGCACUACCUCCAGCAGCUGUUGGUGCGUGCUGUAGCUGUGCUGCCCCAGUGGAAGGUGCGGGUUCAGAAGUCUAAGGCCGUCCAGGCUGUGCUGAACCUCUGCAGCCCCUCCGUCACCGACAAGUGUCUGAUCGCUGAAGCCUGGUGUCCCGUCAGCAAGCUGCCUGAACUACAGAGUGCCCUGAGAGAAGGAGGGAGGAAGAGUGGCAGUGGGAUGGACUCGUUCUACAACCGCCUCCCCUGCUCCACCCCUCCUCCCACCCUGUUCCCUACCAACUCCUUCACGGCCGGCUUCCAGAGCAUCGUAGAGGCUUAUGGAGUGGCCAGUUACCGUGAGGUUAACCCAGCCGUGUACACCAUCAUCACGUUCCCCUUCCUGUUUGCGGUGAUGUUUGGGGACGUCGGUCACGGCCUGCUGAUGUUCCUGGCUGCCCUCUGGAUGGUCCUGGAGGAGAAGGACCCCAAACUCCGGAACAACACCAAUGAGAUCUGGCGGAUGAUGUUUGGAGGACGCUAUCUGAUCCUGUUGAUGGGACUGUUCUCUGUCUACACUGGGGCCAUCUACAACGAGUGUUUCAGCAGAGGACUCAGCCCCUUCAGCUCCGGCUGGCACGUACGACCCAUGUUCGAUAGCGGAGAGUGGAGUUCAGCAACUCUUAAAGGGAACAACUUCCUGUCCCUGGACCCGAACAUCACUGGGGUUUUUACAGGACCCUAUCCUUUUGGCAUCGACCCGAUCUGGGGUCUGUCCAACAACCACCUGACAUUCCUUAACUCUUACAAGAUGAAGAUGUCCGUCAUCAUCGGGGUGAUCCACAUGACCUUCGGAGUCUGUCUGUCCUUCUUCAACUACAAACACUUCAACCAGUUGAGCAGUGUAUUCCUGGUACUGAUCCCAGAGCUGUUCUUCAUGCUGUGUCUCUUCGGUUACCUGGUCUUCAUGGUCAUCUUCAAGUGGCUGGCCUUUGACACGGCCCACUCUAACUUCACCCCCAGCAUCCUCAUCCACUUCAUAGACAUGUUCCUAUUCACAGUGAACAAGGAUAACCCGCCCCUCUACAAAGGACAGAUGGUGGUGCAGAAGGUCCUGGUGAUACUGGCGCUGUGUUCUGUUCCAGUCCUACUGCUGGGGAAACCUAUCCAUCAAUACAUCACACACAAGAGGAACCACUGGCACAUGGCAGGAGAGAGCCGCCCCCUGUUAGGAGAGAACAAUUCCAUCAACGCUCAUCAGGGAGAGGUGGAGACCGGGAGUCACAGAGAGGAGGUGGAGACCGGGAGUCACAGAGAGGAGGAGUUUGAUGCUGCUGAUGUGUUCAUGCACCAGGCCAUCCACACCAUAGAGUACUGUCUAGGCUGCAUCUCCAACACUGCCUCUUACCUACGACUGUGGGCUCUGAGUCUUGCACAUGCACAGCUGUCAGAGGUGCUCUGGGUGAUGGUGAUGCGUAUCGCCCUAAACGGGCAAGGCUACGUGGGAUCUGUGGUCCUGUUUGUAGUCUUUUCCUUCUUCGCUGUGCUGACAGUCUCCAUCCUCCUGGUCAUGGAGGGCCUGUCUGCCUUCCUGCAUGCCUUACGUCUGCACUGGGUGGAGUUCCAGAAUAAGUUCUACAGCGGAACAGGUUACAAGCUGAACCCUUUCGCCUUCUCUUCCCUAAUCCACGCCUCGCCCGCUAUGUGAUCAAUUUAUUGAUAGUUUUAAAUGUUUGCCAAAUGGUUAUGUUAAUUAUUCAAUCAAGUCACUUGCUCUGCACCUAUCGCUCCCCCGCACAUUUGAGAAUGACUGCUCUCUUUUAUUGAAAGCUUGGUGUUUGAAGAACUUGUUCAAUGUCCAAGAAUGCAUUGAGGACUUUGCAAUGUUAUUGAUUGUUUGUGUGCCUAUUUCAGCAUGCUUGUUGCGUGAUCAGAAUAUCUGUUGUUCCUUCUAUGGACUGACCAUGUGUUGCUUCCAGUAAUGUACAUUUAGAUAAUACAUGUUUUUUAAAAAUCAUUCACAUUCUCUUAGUUUAUCAUUCUAAGCAUGAUUUGAAAACUGUUGUAAUUUCUUCAUAGUGUUUGUUUGAAUAACUCAGGAAAUGGUUGCUAUUGACUUUCACACAUGAUGAAAGUGAUCUCAAAGUCUAUAAAGACAAAGGACACCGGUUGUCUUAACACAUCUGGUCUGAAAGAGAAUCAAAGUAGACAUGAUGGUUGCUCUGCUUUUGUUUUUGGUCAUGUGAGGGACCCUUCAUGGUACUCAACACCUCCAGUUUGUUAUGUCUAGUUGGACACGGGUAAUGAUUAUGGAAAGGAAACUUGUCAAUUAUGUCAUUCACAUUAUGUCUGAUAUGUGCAGAGAACCAUCUGAAUGAAGAUCAAUGUUUUUCCAAAGAUAAAUGUGAUUUGUGUGCCUUUGAGCCCAUCUAUUUUUUUGUGUUUAAUCAGGCCUUAUCUGUUCAUUAGUCACUGAGACUGCUCAUGGAACAUAUUCAAGCCUUUAGGAACAACUGUUAGUCUGCCGCAUUCUCUGUAUCCUGGUUCACAUCAUGCUGUCUUUGUUUUUACUAUCAGUGUGAUAAACUCUAUGGCUGAAAUCAAAUUAAAGCUGUUUUUUCUUACA